rnacentral:lncRNA from 1 species
AUAAAGUCAGGAUUUGGAAUAUAAAAAGGUAGAAACACUGUGUUGACAUGUAAGAUCACACAUGAAGAUUUAUUAGUCAUUUUAUAAUAGCAGGGGUCCUAAUAUUUUAGCCCAAUCACAAACGGCGAGGGGAGGGGGGGGGGGCGUGGUGAUAAAAAUCACAUGCAGGCAAAAGUUUGAACCACAAAUUAUGCAUCACUAGCCACUGGUACUUCCUCGUAUCCUUCUAGCUCCUUGAAUCUUUUUGGCAGGAAACAACGACCACCGAAGCGCUGCUGCAGGUAGACGAUAGCAGCAAGAAGAAGGCCCACUAGAGGAAUAAUGACAUCCCAUACAGUGGAAUAAUAAUCUCCACCUGGGUCGGCAUACAUGUAUGAACCAUCAAAAUCUUCAACAUAGGAGUGAACCCUGUAUAUAUCGUAUGCAUGCGGGAGCAAACGCACAAAUGUGGUUCCUAUGUAGAAGAAACGAGAGAGGGCAUUUUCUGUGGAGUUGUGGAAAAUGUUGAGGAGGAUUUGAGGGAAGAGAAAACCAUCGAGUACCAAACCACCAUAAGAUCUUAAAUCCACCCAAUGGGAACGCUGAUAGGUGCUGCUGUAAGUGUACUCCAUGCCCUCACCGACCUUGUUGUUCCUCCAAUUCACAUACACAGCAAUUGAACCUCCAGAUAUAUAUAGUGGCAGAGACAGAUAGAGUGUCCUCUUCUCAGCAGCCAAGAACGCCUUUCGCUUCCCAUCAGCGAAUCGUGCAGACCAUACAAGCUGCAGAAGUCGGAACUGCAGCAGGAAAGCUACCAUCGUGAUUACCCUUACAAUUACCUCAUUCGCUUCCAACCAUCCACCACUCCGUAGAAGGAAUGUUGUGCGACUUUCCUUUGGCACAAACAAAGCUUCAAAAUUCAGCAUUAGAGGGAUCAUGCGCCCGAGAGUAAGGACUAGAAGCAUGAUAAGUGAGAUGAAAGGGAAAACAGCGGGAUGCUUUUUCACAUACAAGAUCUGGUAUCCCACAAAGACACAAACGAGAGUAUUAGAGAUCAAAGACAUGAUGAUCUCCCGAUCCAUCCUCCAUAUUGACUCCCUCGCUGCAGAAAAAGAAAGAGGCUCGAAGUACAGAGGAUCGGAUUUUUCCCCUGUGUAUUCAAUGGUUCCCUGGAUAUAAUCAUUUGAAUCUACUGAAGGGAACUGGACAUUUAUAAGAAUCUUACAGUCCAUUGAAUCAUUGUCUGAUGUCCGAUUGUUUGAGUCAAGAUAUCUGCAGCCCACCAUGCAAAGUUCUCCUGUUUCAGCAUCAUAAAUUCCUUCAGAGAAGACUUGAACAUGAGUAGACUCAUUCAGCGGGAAGCUCAUGCUGUAGCUCAUGUUCAGUGGGAUGCUGUGGUUGGUUUUUCCUUUAACCGGAGAGGAAGCACCCCUCAAGCUUGAUGAAAUCACAAAGCUGUUUUGUCGAGAAAUUUGAUCACCCACAGCGAUGGGCCGAGAGGAGCCCUAUCCUAUUCUUCUUCUCUUGGAGUCCCUGACCACCAUAUUGAACUCCAUGUCAUUCGAAUUUGCAUCUGGAUGCUGCUUUCCUUUGUUCUUUAUGGGCUGCUUCCCUGAGCAUGACGUUCUUGCUUUAUCAACAACAGUGUACUGGUACUUCGACCCGGGGAUCCCAGCUACAAAAUUUUCAUGACUUCGAAACAUGAUCGUAUUGAAGUAACCCAGAUCAUUCUCACGUUUGUUACUCCAAAUAUGCCCCAUCAUACCACUAGUAUUUCUGAUUGACCAAACGGCAGGGAAUCUGAAACUCAACCUCACUGAACAAUCCUCAAUAUGAGAUUUAUUGAACGAGUUGGCUGAAUUCAAGAUUCGACAGCCAACAACACAUAGCUGAUUCUUAUUCACAUCCCAUGAUCCUUCCGCAACCAAUGUUGUGUUUGGAGUGAAGGGGUGGUAAUAAUCACCAUAGCUACUGUUGUGGAACUCUAUCAGGAAUCUCAAUCUUCGUUUAUCUUCUAAACAUUGAAUUAAUUUCAAGGACAUGAUUUGUGGUAAAUAUCCAACACCCUCACCAAAAGGAUUGCAACUACUUGUGGAGUUGCAACCCCUUGAAUACUCCAGUUUAAAAAAAGUAUGCCGACGAGAGAAUGCAUUGCAAAUAGGUGUACUCAGCUUUAAGCUUAGUGACAAACUCUUUGGAACAUCAAUCCCCCCGGUACAGACAUGAUCGAGUGCUUUUCCAACCUCAGUGAACUCGUAAUUAUUUUGAGGGAACAUCAACAAGGAGAUUGGCUUAAAAUAUCCUGAAUCACCAGCAGUACUCGAGCUUUCCAAUAUUCCCCUCACCAAACUACUGAUAGUGCUUGAUUUUCUAACUUCAUCAAGCUUAAGUAGAGCGGCAAGAACAACAUGUUCACCCUCCUCUGAGUAAGUAGAACCAGAGCCCACCAUGCAAAGCUUGCCGGUAGAUACUGACCAGAACCCUUCUACUUCAAAACUCAAAGGACCCCUCGGAGAUCUGUCGUCGUACAUGUAAAACUCCAUAUCCGAGGUUUUCAGGAUCAAACUCGCCUCAACCUUAAAGACACCAUCAACAUCAGUGCUAUAGACACUGUGGGUAUGAAUGAAUAGCUCUCUUCUGUUACUCGAUGGAUAAUGGUGAAGAGAUGAGUUUGGAUGAUUCAAUAUGUCAUCCCCACCUAGAAAGUACCCACCUUGGUCUGCAGCAAAAGGGAUGGUGGUGAAUUCUGGAACAUCAUUGGGAGUUGAUUCAGGGACAAUUGAGGCACAGUGUUUGUUGUAAUUAGGGAUGUCAAGUUUGGAGGAAGAGACCAUGGGGGUGUAAAAGGUGGUCGACAGGACCAGGAACAUUGCGACGUGAAGCCAUGAUAGAUAACACCAUGUGCUUGGAGAGGAAUUAGAGGUCAUCAUCAGAUAUUUCUUGGACUAUGAGGAUGGUAAGGCUGGUCUGAACAUCUGGUGGAAUGAAGCGGCGGAUAUUUACUAGACUAGAGGUAGCAGUCAUCCGGCAAAGUUUUCUUGCUUUUAAGAACCACGCAGGACUGAAAUCUACGCAAAUGGAGAACACAUCUGCUCCUGAUUAAGAUGAGUGACAACUGGGAGUACCGGGUCAUAUUUGAAGAGUAAACGCUGGUUGUGCUUGAUUUUUUAUUGAAUAAAUAAAAAUAGUAAAGUAUAAACUCAAUAAUUAUCAAAAUUCUUAUUAUAUAAAAAAAUUAUCUUAAUUUAAUAAUUUAAUUUAUUAAAUAAAAUUUAUAUUAUUCUCUAAUAUAUUAUUAAAAAUCAAACACAAUUAUAAAUAUAAAAAAAUUAUUAUUCAUGAAAUAAAUAAGCCAUGUCAAUUGUCUUGGGAUAGCACCAUAGAGUCAAUGGAUCUCUAACAACAAUUAGGAUUGGUGUUUGGUUAAAUUUAGAUGAGAUAGAUUUGAUAAUUUAUGUUUAACUCAUGAUUAAACACAAGUAUAUUAAGAUUAAUAAUUCACAAAAUUUAGUUAUUGAAUUCAAAUAUAUUGAAUUCGAUAUUUUGCUAGACUCAUGAUGAUUCUCUAGGCUCAAUAAAUAACUGAAUCUAAACAUAUUAAUUCUCAUAUUUCGCUAAAUUCAUGAUCCUCGAAGCUUAAUUCGUAGGUAAACUUAAGUAUAUUAGAUGUAGUAUUAUCAUCAUCAUGUUUAAUUGAGUUAUUAUCUUGUUACAAGGCUGAGCUCUUUUAACACAUAAAAAUAAAAAAUAAAAAUAAAAAUUGUCAUAACACAUGGUUUAUGCCAUAAUCAGUAUAGAUAUUCUUGGAUUUGUUGUUUGGGUCAUUAUAUGUUUAACGUAGACUUAGGCAUUGAUAAAUUCUUUUUUUCAUAAAUUCUUUUCUUAAAAUAGCAAAAAAAUAUGUUUAUAUACAAGUAAAAUAUCCUAAAUAGUGAAAUCCUUAUUAAAUUAAAAGUUUUUCUUAUUAAAUAAGAAUAGAAAUUCCUAAUUUUAACUUGAAAACGAAAACAACUAGCAAGCUAGCUGCUCCUGUGUAUAUAGAAUUUUAGAAAAAUCUAGAAAAAAUUAAAUCUGAUUUAAUAAUAGAACAAAAAAACUAUGCUUAUUUUUAACAAUUAAGAAAAAUAAGUAUCCAAGAAUAAUGAAAAUAGGGCCGCCGAAGUCGGUAGUCAAUGAAUCUUUGCACAUGGAGAGGUGUAACAUUUAUUAAUUAGUUCUGAAUCCAAUUGACAUAAAUUAAAUGCUACAUUUAAGGUGCAUCACGGGGCAUAUCGGAUUAUCAUGAUAAAACUGAUUAAAUUAAUUAAUCUAAAUGAAUUUCUACAUUAUUCAUCAAAAAAACAAAAAAAAAAUAAGAAAUUUAAAAUGUCAGAGAUUUCAUUUUCAGCAAAAGAGCAAAGACUUGGAACUUUCCAAGCAAAUCCAAGUCUACUCUACGCAAGUGAUAUGUCGUUGAGGUUUUGUAUAACAAGACAAAUGGAGUUGACCAUGGAGGUCUUGCGACCCAAUUUUUAUGCUAGGUUUUUUAAUAUAUAUAUAUAUUACUGAAAAAUAUUUUGUAGAUAUUCCAUAUUUGUUUUUUUAAAAUAUAUAUUUUUUAUAUUUUUUGCUGUAAAAAAUAUUAUAUAUUGAUCAAGAAAAAAUAUUUUAUAAUUAAUCUUUGAAACUUAAUUUAUUUAUUAAAAAUUAUUUUCAAAUUAUAAAGUCUCAUAAAGUAUUUUAAAAAUAAUAAUUAUUUUAUAAUAUCAUCUAAUAAUUUCAACUAUAUUGUCAUCAAUAUCUUAAUACCUUCUUUUUUUUUUUUAUCAUUACCACAAAUAUUUUUAUCUCAUCUCAUCUCAUUAUUACUAUUAUCAUCAUCUUAAUAUUUUUUUUAUAUUUGUAGCUGUAAAAUAUUUUAUAUUGAUUAAGAAAAAAUAUUUUAUUGUUAAUCUUCAAACUUAAUUUAUUUAUUAAAAAAUAUUUUCAACUCAUAAAAUAUUAUAAAAUAUUUAUAAAUAAUUAUUAUUUUACAAUAUCAUUUAACAAUUUCAAUUAAUAUCUCCAUUUCAUUAUCACCUUAUAAUCACCUUCUUCUUUUUCUAAUUUUUUUUAUUGUCAUCACCAUUUUAAUAUCACUUUUCUUUUUAUCAUUAUCACGAUUAUUUUUAUCUCAUCUUGUUAUUACUAUUAUCGCAACUAGAACCACCUUUUUUUUUAUUAUCGUUGAAUUAAUUUGGUGAUGAAUGCAGAAAUCGAUGUAUUGGCUCAUAGUAAGACGUGGUCUCUGGUUUAUUUUGAUCAGUCAAUGAAUAUUGUUUGCUGCAAGUGGGUGUUCAAUAUUAAACAGAAAGCUAAUGACUCUUAUUAAUUAGCAUUUUAAGGCUUUGUUUGGUAGCCAAAAGGUCUAAUCACAAAAAAAAAAAAAAAAACAUUUUGACUUUGAUGACACUUUCAGUGAUCUGGCAACCACUGCUUGAACCAAUUUGUUUCCUGCUUUUAUAUAUAAAAAAAAAUCCAGGACUUAACUGAACCGAGCUGAACCAAUUUGGUUUGAACAAAAUUUCAGUUUGCUCUAGUUUAUAUUUUUCCUAGUGCAAGCUUGAAAUUGCACGCAGUUGUUUAGCCUUGCAAUGUUUAUAUCUGUGCCUGUUGUAAAAUUUGAUGAUAUCCAGGUUAAAAACCUUAAAAUCUACACACACAUAUAAUGGUUACAUAAUUUAUCCACAAUGAACAGCGUUUUCAAUCAAAUAAUCAACUUGACGUUUUCCAAUUUCACAACAGAGCACAAAGACUUUCUACCAACGGAGUUAACACUUGCCAUCUAUCUUUUAAGUUCAACAGCAACGAUGAAAAUGGCCGAAAUCGUAUGAUGCUUCUCCGUAUUUCACCCCAAAUCUGAGCAAAGACUCAUGUUUAAUGGAGUUGAAGCUGUUAAAACGCACCUUCAUUUACUACAAACAGGAAGCUACAAAGCUUCAACUCAUGUUUAGUGCAUCUUGAAUUGCUAGAGCAUAUAAAUUGUCUUCCAGUCUACUUGUAAUUACGAAUGAAGAUAUGAUCAUGCAGGGAAGUCUUUGCAAGCAAGAGAUAUAUAAAGUCAGGAUUUGGAAUCGGCAGCAUUCACAACAUAAACCUUUUCGCUUCCACAGAUGUAUAUACACACAGGUAGAAACACUGUGUUGACAUGUAAAAUCACACAUGAAGAUUUAUUAGUCAUUUUAUAAAAUCACAUGCUCGCAAAAGUUUGAACCACAAAUUAUGCAUCACUAGCCACUGGUACUUCCUCGUAUCCUUCUAGCUCCUUGAAUCUUUUUGGCAGGAAACAACGACCACCGAAGCGCUGCUGCAGGUAGACGAUAGCAGCAAGAAGAAGGCCCACUAGAGGAAUAAUGAGAUCCCAUGCAGUGGAAUAAUAAUCUCCACCUGGGUUGGCAUACAUGUAUGAACCAUCAAAAUCUUCAACAUAGUAGUUAGCCCUGUAUAGAUCGUAUGCAUGCGGGAGCAAACGCACAAAUGUGGUUCCUAUGUAGAAGAAACGAGAGAGGGCAUUUUCUGUGGAGUUGUGGAAAAUGUUGAGGAGGAUUUGAGGGAAGAGAAAACCAUCGAGUACCAAACCACCAUAAGAUCUUAAACCCACCCAAAGGGAACGCUGAUAAGUGCUGCUGUAAGCGUACUCCAUGCCCUCACCCACCGUGUUGUUCCUCCAAUUCACAUACACAGCAAUUAAACCUCCAGAUAUAUAUAGUGGUAGAGACAAAUAGAGUGUCCUCUUCUCAGGAGCCAAGAACGCCUUUUGCUUCCCAUCAGCGAAUCGUGCAGACCAUACAAGCUGCAGAAGUCGGAACUGCAGCAGGAAAGCUACCAUCGUGAUUACCCUUACAAUUACCUCAUUCGCUUCCAACCAUCCACCACUCUGUAGAAGGAAUGUUGUGCGACUUUCCUUUGGCACAAACAAAGCUUCAAAAUUCAGCAUUAGAGGGAUCAUGCGCCCGAGAGUAAGGACCAGAAGCAUGAUAAGUGAGAUGAAAGGGAAAACAGCGGGAUGCUUUUUCACAUACAAGAUCUGGUAUCCCACAAAGACACAAACGAGAGUAUUAGAGAUCAAAGACAUGAUGAUCUCCCGAUCCAUCCUCCGUAUUGACUCCCUCGAAUGCUGACGGUAAAAUGAAGCUGCAGAAAAAGAAAGAGGCUCGAAGUACAGAGGAUCGGAUUUUUUCCCUGUGUAUUCAAUGGUUCCCUGGAUAUAAUCAUUUGAAUCUACUGGAGGGAACUGGACAUUUAUAAGAAUCUUACAGUCCAUUGAAUCAUUGUCUGAUGUCCGAUUGUUUGAGUCAAGAUAUCUGCAGCCCACCAUACAAAGUUCUCCUGUUUCAGCAUCAUAAAUUCCUUCAGAGAAGACUUGAACAGGAGUAGACUCGUUCAGCGGGAAGCUCAUGCUGUAGCUGAUGUUCAGUGGGAUGCUGUGGUUGGUUUUUCCUUUAACCGGAGAGGAAGCACCCCUCAAGCUUGAUGACACCACAAAGCUGUUUUGUCGAGAAAUUUGAUCACCCACAGCGAUGGGCUGAGAGAAGCCCCAUCCUAUUCUUCUUCUCUUUGAGUCCCUGACCACCAUAUUGAACUUCAUGUCAUUCGAAGUUGCAUCUGGAUGCCGCUUUCCUUUGUUCUUUCUGGGCUGCUUCUCUGAGCAUGACUUUCUUGCUUUGUCAACAACAGUGUACUGGUACUUCGACCCGGGGAUCCCAGAUACAAAAUUAUCAUAACUUCGAAACAUGAUCGUAUUGAAGUAACCCAGAUCAUUCUCACGUUUGUUACUCCAAAUAUGCCCCAUCAUACCACUAGUAUUUCUGAUUGACCAAACGGCAGGGAAUCUCAAACUCAACCUCACUGAACAAUCCUCAAUAUGAGAUUUAUUGAACGAGUUGGCUGAAUUCAAGAUUCGACAGCCAACAACACACAGCUGAUUCUUAUUCACAUCCCAUGAUCCUUCCGCAACCAAUGUUGUGUUUGGAGUGAAGGGUUGGUAAUAAUCAGCAUAGCUACUGUUGUGGAAUUCUAUCAGGAAUCUCAAACUUCGUUUAUCUUCUAAACAUUGAAUUAAUUUCAAGGACAUGAUUUGUGGUAAAUAUCCAACACCCUCACCAAAAGGAUUGCAACUACUUGUGGACUUGCAAGCACUUGAGUACUCCAGUUUAAAAAAAGUAUACCAACGAGAGAAUGCAUUGCAAAUACGUGUACUCAGCUUUAAGCUUAGUGACAAACUCUUUGGAACAUCAAUACCCCCGGUACAGACAUGAUCGAGUGCUUUUCCAACCUCAGUGAACUCGUAGUUAUUUUGAGGGAACAUCAACAAGGAGAUUGGCUUGAAAUAUCCUGAAUCACCAGCAGUACUCGAGCUUUCCAAUAUUCCCCUCACCAAACUACUGAUAGUGCUUGAUUUUCUAACUUCAUCAAGCUUAAGUAGAGCGGCAAGAACAACAUGUUCACCCUCCUCUGAGUAAGUAGAACCAGAGCCCACCAUGCAAAGCUUGCCGGUAGAUACUGACCAGAACCCUUGUACUUCAAAACUCAAAGGACCCCUCGGAGAUCUGUCGUCGUACAUGUAAAACUCCAUAUCCGGGGUUUUCAGGAUCAAACUCGCCUCAACCUCAAAGACACCAUCAACAUCAGUACUAUAGACACUGUGGGUAUGAAUGAAUAGCUCUCUCCUGUUACUCGAUGGAUAAUGGUAACGAGAUGAGUUUGGAUGAUUCAAUAUGUCUUCCCCACCAAGAAAGUACCCACCUUGCUCUGCAGCAAAAGGGAUGGUGGUGAUUUCGGGAACAUCAUUGGGAGUUGAUUCAGGGACAAUAGAGGCACAGUGUUUGUUGUAAUUAGGGAUGUCAAGUUUGGAGGAAGAGACCAUGGGGGUGUAAGAGGUGGUCGAAAGGACCAAGAACAUUGCGACGUGAAGCCAUGAUAGAUAACACCAUGUGCUUGGAGAGGAAUUAGAGGUCAUCAUCCGAUAUUUCUUAGACAAUGAGGAUGGUAAGGCUGGUCUGAACAUCUGGUGGAAUGAAGCGGCGGAUAUAUACUAGACUAGGGUAGCAGUCAUCCGGCAAAGUUUUCUUGCUUUUAAGAACCACGCAAUCUACGCAAAUGGAGAACAUCUGCUCCUGAUAAAGAUAGGGACAGCUUAGAGUACCGUGUCAUAUUUGAAGAGUGCACGCUAGGUGUGCUUGAUUUUUUACUGAAUGAAUAAAAAUAGUAAGAUUUAUCUCGAUAUCUCAUGAAGAACAAGACUCUAAUAUUAUAUAAAAUAAUUAUUUUAAUUUAAUAAUUUAAAUUGUUAGAUAAUAUUUUAAAAUAUAAUUUAUAUUAUUUUAUAAUAUAUAUAUUGUUGGAAAUCAAACACAUUUAUAAAUAUAAAAAAAUUAUUAUUCAUGAAAUGAAUAACUCAUGUUAAUUAUCUCGAGAUAGCACCCUAGAUUCUAUAGAUCUCUAAUACCAAUUGGGAUUAGGGUGUGAUUAAAUCUAGGUGAAAUAAAUUUGAUAAUUUAUUAAAUCUAUGAUGAUUUAGGCUUAACUCAUGAUUAAACCCAAAUUGACAAUUCACAAAGCCUAUGGUUUUAACAUGACUGAACUCAAAUGUAUUGAAUCUAGUAUUUUAGUAAACUCAUGAUUCUCUGUACUCAAUUGAUAGCUGAAUCUAAACACAUUGAAUCUUAUAUUUUGCUAGAUUGAUGAUUCUCGAGGCUUAGUUUAUGGCUGAAUUUAAAUAUAUUAGAUUUAGCAUCUUGUCAAAAUCAUGUUUGAUUGAGUUAUCAUCUUGUUACAAGGUUGAGCUCUUUCAACGCACAAAAAUAAAGAAUAAAAAUACUAAAUCAUCAUAACAGAUGGUUUAUGCUAUGAUUAGUAUAUGUGUUCUUGGAUUUGUUGUUUGGGUCAUUAUAUGUUUAACAUGGACUUAGGCAUUGAUAGUUUAUUAAAAUUCUUUUUUUUUAUAAGUUCUCUUCUUAAAAUAGCCUGAAAGGAUGUUUAGAUACAAGAAAAUUAGUGAAAUCCUUAGUAAAUUGAAAAUCUUAAUUUAAAUAAGAAUAAGAUUCGAAAAACAAGUAGCAAUAUUGAUGUGGAUCGAGUAACAAGACAACAAAAGGGCUGAUUAUUGUUGCACAAUCAAGCACGUUAAAUUUUCUUACGUAACAGUUGGAGUUUCCUCUCAUUUCAUUAUUUAGCUUUUACUCUCCCAAUUAAUUCGGGACGUUUCUUUUUGUUUUUUAGUUUUUAUUUCCUCAUUAAUUCUAGACUGUUUCCCAAUUUAAUGAAGUUGUUUUAGGAUUCUAGGAAUUCUGUUUUCUCCACUGGGGACCUUGUGGACUAAGCUUUGUUUUUGUCUGAUUAUUGUUUUUUGUGUUGUGGUUUGUGUGUUUAUUUUUUAUGCAUUUCCUUUAUUUAUUUCUUAUACGCUUUAAUUUCUGUAUAUAUUUGUUCAUGCAUUGUAUAGAAUUGUCUCAUCCAUCACUUACUUUAAAUUUUAUACAAGCACGCACAACUUGGCCAAGCAGAGUUUGCUCAUAACCAUGCAGUCAAUUGUAGCACCAAGCUCAGCCCCUUUAAAAUUAUGUAUGGGUUUCUCCCACGAUGUCCACUUGACUUGGCUAAACUCUCGAACAACACUAAAGUUAAUCACAAGGCAGAGGAUUUUGUCACCCAGCUGCAUGACAUUCACAACCCUACCCGACAGAACUUGCUGGAAUCUAUCGCCAAAUUCAAACACGAUGAGGACCGCAAGCAGCGUCAUGUCAAUUUUGAGGUUGGGGACUUCGUUUAGGUUGUGCUAGCGAAGGAUCGCUUUCCUAUAGGCGAGUAUAAUAAAUUGUUCUGCACGAAAGAUUGGUCCAGUAGAAAUUAUUGAGAAAAUUAAUUCAAAUGCCUAUCGCCUAAAGCUGCCCAGUCAUCUUCGAAUAGCAAAUGUAUUUAAUGUCAAACAUUUGCUUCCUUUCCACAGGGGAUUUGUCAUCAGAGGAGGAAGAUCUCCCGAAUUCGUGGUUGAAUUCUUCUCAGCUUGGGGAGGAUGAUGUGGACCAGGUAGCAAGACAAUAAAAUAGCUUACUAUUGUUGCACAAUCAAGCACAUUAAAUUUUCUUACGUAACAGUUGGAGUUUCCUCUCAUUUCAUUAUUUAGUUUUUACUCUCCCAAUUAGUUCGGGACGUUUCUUUCUGUUUUUUAGCUUUUAUUUCCUCAUUAAUUCUGGACUGUUUCCCGGUUUAAUGAAGUUGUUUUAGGACUCUAGGAAUUCUGUUUUCUCUAUUUAUUUGGUUGUAAGCACUUUGUGAAAGAUAGACAGAAUAAAAAAAAAUCCAAAACUCCUUUGAGUAGUUAACUCAAAUAUCUUUUUUUCUUUGUUUUUCGCGGAAUUACAUAUUAAAAAAACAUUGUGUGUUAGAACGUGUGUGAAUUCCUUUUGAUCUGCAUUAGAAAUGGAGAAAAAUGAAAAUGAAAACAACUAGCAAGCUAGCUACUCCUGGGUAUAUAGAAUUUAAGAACAAUCUAGAAAAAAUUAAAUUUGAUUUAAUAAUAAAAUAAAAAACUAUGAUUGUUUUUAACAAUUAAGAAAAAUAAUUAUCCAAGAAUAAUGAAAAUAGUGCCGCCGAGGUCGGUAGCCAAUGAAUCUUUGCACAUAGAGAGGUGUGACGUCUUUCAAUUAGUUCUGAAUUCAAUUGACAUAAAUUAAAUGCUACAUUUAAGGUGCGUCAAAGGGCAUAUCGGAUUACCAUUAUAAAACUGAUUAAAUUAAUUAAUCUAAAUGAAUCUCUACAUUGUUCAACAAAGAACAAAAAAAAAUAAGAAAAAUAAAAUGUCAGCGAUUUCAUUUUCAGCAAAAAAGCAAAGACUUGGAACUUUCCAAGCAAAUCCAAGUCUAAUUUGGUGAUGAAUGCAGAAAUCGAUGUAUUGGCUCGUAGUAAGACGUGGUCUUUGCUUUAUUUUGAUCAGUCAAUGAAUAUUGUUUGCUGCAAGUGGGUGUUCAAUAUUAAACAGAAAGCUAAUGACUCUAAUUAAUUAGCAUUUUAAGGCUUUGUUUGGUAGCCAAAAGGUAUAAUCACAAAAAAAAAAAAAAAAAAAAAAACAUUUUGACUUUGAUGACACUUUCAGUGAUCUGGCAACCACUGCUUGAAUGGUACCUAUGGAAAUUUCCUAGGCUGAAUGUUUAUAAGGUGUUGCUUAAUGGUUUUCUUCAUAUUGAUGUUUCCAUGGCGCAACCCAUAAUUUUUUGUAUCCUUAAUUUCUUUCUCAUGUGUGCAAGAUAUAAUACACAUGAGAAGGAAAUUAAGUUUCCUGGUUUUAUACAAAAAAAAAUCCAGGAAGUAACUGAACCGAGCCGAACCAAUUUGGUUUGAACCAAAUUCCAGUUUGCUCUGGUUUAUAUUUUUCCGAGUGCAAGCUUGAAAUUGCACGCUGUGGUUUAGCCUUGCAAUGUUUAUAUCUAUGCCUGUUAUAAAAUGUGAUGAUAUCCAGGUUAAAAACAUUAAAAUCUACACACACACACAUAUAUAAUGGUUACAUAAUUUAUCCACAAUGAACAGCGUUUUCAAUCAAAUAAUCAACUUGACGUUUUCCAAUUUCACAACAGAGCACAAAGACUUUCUAUCUUCAUUUACUAGAAACAGGGAGCUACAAGGCUUCAACUAUCUUGAAUUUGCUAGAGCAUAUAAAUUGUCUUCCUAUCUACUUGUAAUUGCGAAUGAAGAUAAGAUCAUGCAGGGAAGUCUUUGCAAACAAGAGAUAUAUAAAGUCACACAUAAACCUUUUCGCUUCCACAGAUGUAUAUACACACAGGUAGAAACACUGUGUUGACAUGUAAAAUCACACAUGAAGAUUUAUUAGUCAUUUUAUAUAGCAGGGGUCCUAAUAUUUUAGCCCAAUCACAAACGGCGAGGGGAGGGGUGGAGUGGUGAUAAAAAUCACAUGCUCACAAAGGUUUGAACCACAAAUUAUACAUCACUAGCCACUGGUACUUUCUCGUAUCCUUCUAGCUCCUUGAAUCUUUUUGGCAAGAAACAACGACCACCGAAGCGCUGCUGCAGGUAGACGAUAGCAGCAAGAAGAAGGCCCACUAGAGGAAUAAUGAGAUCCCAUGCAGUGGAAUAAUAAUCUCCACCUGUGUCGGCAUACAUGUAUGAACCAUCAAAAUCUUCAACAGAGUAGUUAGCCCUGUAUAGAUCGUAUGCAUGCG